rnacentral:rRNA from 1 species
ACGGAAGGCAGCAGUGGGGAAUAUUGCACAAUGGGGGAAACCCUGAUGCAGCGACGCCGCGUGAGUGAAGAAGUAUUUCGGUAUGUAAAGCUCUAUCAGCAGGGAAGAAAAUGACGGUACCUGACUAAGAAGCCCCGGCUAACUACGUGCCAGCAGCCGCGGUAAUACGUAGGGGGCAAGCGUUGUCCGGAAUGAUUGGGCGUAAAGGGCGCGUAGGCGGCUGUCUAAGUCUGGAGUGAAAUUCCCGCUUUUAAGGUGGGAACUGCUUUGGAUACUGGUCAGCUUGAGUGCAGGAGAGGUUAGUGGAAUUCCCAGUGUAGCGGUGAAAUGCGUAGAGAUUGGGAGGAACACCAGUGGCGAAGGCGACUAACUGGACUGUAACUGACGCUGAGGCGCGAAAGUGUGGGGAGCAAACAGGAUUAGAUACCCUGGUA